UUCCCAACAGAUGGCAUUACCCUCAUGAAUGUAGCAUCAACACGUGACGUCUACAACAUGGUGGCGGUACGGUUGUCGAUUAAGGAACAUAAGAUCAUUUUAAAGUGGUACUUCAAAUUUGAGAAUAUUAGAUGAAAAAUUGAAAAAACCU